rnacentral:rRNA from 1 species
UACGGAAGGCAGCAGUGGGGAAUAUUGCACAAUGGGCGCAAGCCUGAUGCAGCCAUGCCGCGUGUAUGAAGAAGGCCUUCGGGUUGUAAAGUACUUUCAGUCGUGAGGAAGGUGUUAAGGUUAAUAACCUUAGCAAUUGACGUUAGCGACAGAAGAAGCACCGGCUAACUCCGUGCCAGCAGCCGCGGUAAUACGGAGGGUGCGAGCGUUAAUCGGAAUUACUGGGCGUAAAGGGCACGCAGGCGGUUAAUUAAGUUGGAUGUGAAAUCCCCGGGCUUAACCUGGGAAUGGCAUUCAAGACUGGUUAGCUAGAGUCUUGUAGAGGGGGUGAAUUCCAUGUGUAGCGGUGAAAUGCGUAGAGAUGUGGAGGAAUACCGGUGGCGAAGGCGGCCCCUGGGACAAGACUGACGCUCAUGUGCGAAAGCGUGGGGAGCGAAACAGGAUUAGAUACC